rnacentral:lncRNA from 1 species
CCCAGCUCAAGGAUAAAGAAGUUCAGUCCUCAUCCAAAGUCUCUUCAUCACUAUUUUCAGGCUAGAAGGAUUGAAGCUCCAAAUACAGCAUCAUCCGCAGCAGACGGACCUUGCAGUUCUCAAAACCGUUGAUAAAUUCAUCGAUGACAAUGUCGAUGGCCUUCUUCUUAAACUUUGCAGAAUCUUGGUACUCCUGAAAGUAGGUCUGA